GGCAGAGGGAGCCGAGUUCCCGCGGAGGCGCGCACGCGCCCCCGUGAGGAAAGUCCCCCCACCGUUCGGGCAGGCGACCGGGCGCAAGUCCGGAGCGGGAGACCGCUGGCUCUGGAACAGAAACGAGACCCCUCUCCCCGACCGAUGAGGUGUGCGAAUCCCGACCCGAAGCGGCUCGCGCCGCAGCAAGGAACGGAGAGUUGACCCACCGAGGGAUAGCGUCCCGACCUCGUCGGGACGAAAACGAGGCGGUACACACCGCCGAGUGCGUGGCGAAGCCACCCGACGGGAGAGAACGGAUGGAACGGCGAAUCCUCGCCGGUGCAAGUCCACGCCGCGAUGCUCGGCGUCUCGACGUCGAGCGUCGAGGUAGCCCGAACGACGGCGCGGACGCUCAGCCGAAUACUCGGACGAACAGAAGGGGGCUUACUCCCCUCAGCC
rnacentral:RNase_P_RNA from 1 species